CUGGCACCACUGUCUCCUUCUCUUCCUUCUACUCUUCUCUACACUCCUUACAAUCCCCUUCGCCCUUUUCUCCAAUAAAUCCUAAAACCCUAACCCUAGUUUCCUCCACUUGUAAAUACCCAAUACCCUGUUUUCCAUUUUCUUCCUUAUAUAUAUAUAUAUAGAUAUAUAAACACAACACCAAAAUUCACUUCACUGAUCACUCUCCCAACCUCACUCCAAUCCCAAACACCAUGUUGCUACUACAGUUCACUUCCAACUCCAUACCCUUUCUCUGCUUCCUCUUACUGCUCCCGAUCAUGACCAUUAGCUCCGAUUCGUCCGUCUACGACGUCCUCCUGGCCCACGGCCUUCCGAUGGGGCUGCUGCCUAAGGGUGUGACUCAGUUCGAAAUCGACGAGGGCGGCCGGUUCCAGGUGUACCUGGAUCAGGCCUGCAAUGCCAAGUUCGAGAGUGAGUUGCAUUACGACAGGAACGUGUCUGGGACUCUCAGUUACGGCCGGAUCGGAGCCUUGUCGGGUAUUUCGGCCCAGGAGCUCUUUCUCUGGUUUCCGGUCAAGGGUAUUCGGGUCGAUGUCCCCAGCUCCGGCAUCAUUUACUUCGAUGUCGGCGUUGUUUUUAAGCAAUUCUCGCUUUCGCUAUUCGAAACACCGCCGGAUUGUACUGCUGCCACCCCCGCCGCCCAGGCUGAUGUCGGCGGCGGCGGCGGCAGGCUCAUCGUUGACACCGUUUCCAAGAGUAAAUCGGGCAAACUGCGGUAUGGUCUCGAUCAGGAGCAACAUUUUGGGAGAGGUUUUGAGUAGGAAUUUUGGGGGAGAAAUGUGAGUUAGAAUUGUGGGUUAUACACAGAGAGUCUGGGUUAUGGGUUAGUGUGGUUGCUUGCGUUGUUUUAAGUUUUUAAUGGCCGGUGAAUUCGAUUCGAACCAGAGAUUGGACGAGGCAGAGAGAGAGAGCUAUUACAAAAGAUUUGAAGACCAAAUCAGGUAUAAACCUUGAAGGGCUCUGUUUCCAUUGUCAGAGAGUUUGAGCAGAGGUUUUGUUCCACCAGUUCUUACCAAUUUUUGCUUUGCUUUGUUUUUCUAGUUAACUCUGACAGGUUCUGGGGUUUUGGGUUUUCGCUUCUGUUUUUUCUUCUCGUCCGAGGCUUGUUCUUAUUUACUUUCCACG